rnacentral:tRNA from 1 species
UUAAUUGAAACCAAAUUAGAGGUAUAUCACUGUUAAUGAUAUUAUUGAAUAUAAGCUCCAAUUAAG